ensembl:processed_transcript RIKEN cDNA A230103J11 gene
CGCACGGCAGGACUUGAAGCACGACCCGAGCAUCCAGGUAGGCACAGAUCUCCAGCAGCAGCUCCGGGGGAAGGCUCAGGAGGCCCGGCAGGCGCACGGCCGGGACUUUGGAGGCAGCCUUUCGCUCCGGCACGCCUAGGGACGCGGAGAAUAUGGACUGCAGUGACGAGCGCCGCGGGGUCAGGCCAAGCUUGGGAGGGGUCAUCCUUCGGGCUCACCCAGGAGGCUACAGCAUCGCAGAAGAAAAUAAAGUCCUGAAACAUGACGGAUCCCAUGUGAGGGGCCGCCCAAGUCAGCCCCCGCCCUGCCCUCUGAGCCCCACUGCCCGGACCUGCACAACACCCCCAGGAUUGACACCAAUCAUCAUGCAGAUGCCUCGGAAGGCAGAAUCCUUCUCCUCGUUGUCCCGGAUGUUCCUAAGGGACGUGCACCUGGCCAUGGAGGAGGGCAGCAGGCCCCACCCAGGCAGGCACACACCAAGGCCGGAUGAACUGCUGCAGCAUGGGUGCCACCUCCUGCGGGCACACGUAGCCCAGGCGGCCAAUGGUGAUGGCUGGAAUGGCAGAGGGACUCGUCAGGCGACCUGCAACCCCGAGUGGCCCCGGGACGGUACGUGGCGGGGCCUCUGACAGGAGGCACCGAGCCCCGCCCCACAGGCCCCAACUGAACGAUCCAGUGGCUAUCCUGGGCCCUUGAGUUUGGCCCAUAGGUGUCCUCUCCACCCAGCCUGGAUCUCUUACCAUCCACAUAUUCUAAAGUCAGUCAUCUUCCUUGGUCCCUCCCAAUUCUAUUUCAGGUCUUAGCACCCUUCCUUCCUGGAACUGCGCCCCCUCAGCCCCGGCCUGAUACUCACCUGUGUUUUCCAGCAGUGUCUUGGGCGUGUUGGGCCUGUUAAUGAUCUCCACCAGAUUGUUGAGGACCAUCUGCACAUAAGGCUGCAUCUCUGCCCCUAGGGACCAGCCAUUCAGAGCCCUGCAUGGCCCACUCCACCCACAGAGUGCCAGCUGGGCAUGGCUGACCUCACUCCAUGACCCCAGUUACAUGCAGACUGGCAUACCACCACACCUGAGAGAAAAAAAGAACCUUCUCGGGAUGCUCCCCACCAAGUUCGCAGCCAACACACAACAGAACCACCCAAAGGAGUCUCUGAAGUCACUACCCAGAAGGUAACAAGGCCACUCCACCCAGUCUUCCCCAAGGGCAGGAGCAGACCUUUCAGAAAAACAAUUACAGGAGAUGGUCUGGUCAAUAGGAACAGACUGUCUACCCCACCUCAUAAAUGGCCCUUCAGUUAUUUGACUUCACCUCUCAGGAAGAUCAAAGUAUGUUCUUCCCCCUGACCAAUAGAGGAUAAAGCUCUGGCUCCAGGAUGGAGACAGAGCAAUGAAGAGGCAGGCUGCCACUCUAAGGCACUCACCCAUCUGCAUGCAGAUCUCCCCAAUGGCCCAGGUAGCAUUGUUGCAGACAGAGAUGAACUCGGGGUUCAGGUUGGUGCCCAGAAUAGGCAUGAACUCAGCUAAUGCAAAGGAGGGGAAAGAACAACUGAGCAGAGAGGUCACGAGGCCGGCCAAACUCCCAGGGCGGACUGGCCAGCCCCAUCAGACAGUACGAAUACAUCCCAGUCCGGUCAUGGGCCUCCCAGGGUAUGUCUCCAUCACUUUAGGCCAAUGUUGGGGUCAUGGGACAGGGGCAAAGGGGGCAGCCUACCGAUACAGGGCUUGACGUGGAUAAAGCAGGCUUUGGUAAGGUCUCCCAGAAGGGCAAAGGAGCUCUGCCGGACCUCAGGCAUGGAAUCCUGGAGUUGGGAAAGAUGGCAGAAAUGGCAGGGCUGCCCCUACUCUUUCCAUCUAUGCAAUCUGAGGUGGCACAGUCCCCCUAAAGCACAUCCUGACCACAAACACUAGCUGAGGUGCACAGGUCUGUCCACUAGACAGACCUUAUUCCACUAGCCUUCUCCUACUAUACUAUAGCCUGUUUCCCAGAACAUGGUGGUGGAGGUCAUUGGUAAGCAUUUACUUUUAAAAUUCUCUAGAACCCCGUUUUACCCCUACCCAUCCCGCCUCCC